UAUACGACCGUACCGCAAACCGACACUGGUGCGCGAGAUGAGUAUUCUAAGGCGCUUGAGAGAACUCAGGAGAAGGAACUCGGCAAAUUGACACCGUAACUUCGGAAGAAGGUGUGCCCUAUUAGUGUGUAGUGAACAACGAAGCAUGAAUGGGUUGCAAAAAAUCGGUGGCUGCGACUGUUUAUUAAAAACACAGCACUCUGCAAACACGAAAGUGGACGUAUAGGGUGUGACGCCUGCCCGGUGCUGGAAGAUUAAAUGAUGGGGUGCAAGCUCUUGAUUGAAGUCCCAGUAAACGGCGGCCGUAACGAUAACGGUCCUAAGGUAGCGAAAUUCCUUGUCGGGUAAGUUCCGAUCUGCACGAAUGGCGUAACGAUGGCCACACUGUCUCCUCCUGAGACUCAGCGAAGUUGAAAUGUUUGUGAUGAUGCAAUCUCCCCGCGGAAAGACGGAAAGACCCCAUGAACCUUUACUGUAGCUUUGUAUUGGACUUUGAACAGAUCUGUGUAGGAUAGGUGGGAGGCUUUGAAGCAGGGUCGCUAGAUCUUGUGGAGCCAACGUUGAAAUACCACCCUGGUGUGUUUGAGGUUCUAACCUAGGUCCAUUAUCUGGAUCGGGGACAGUGCAUGGUAGGCAGUUUGACUGGGGCGGUCUCCUCCCAAAGCGUAACGGAGGAGUUCGAAGGUACGCUAGUUACGGUCGGACAUCGUGACGAUAGUGCAAUGGCAUAAGCGUGCUUAACUGCGAGACUGACAAGUCGAGCAGAUGCGAAAGCAGGACAUAGUGAUCCGGUGGUUCUGUAUGGAAGGGCCAUCGCUCAACGGAUAAAAGGUACUCUGGGGAUAACAGGCUGAUACCGCCCAAGAGUUCAUAUCGACGGCGGUGUUUGGCACCUCGAUGUCGGCUCAUCUCAUCCUGGGGCUGUAGCCGGUCCCAAGGGUAUGGCUGUUCGCCAUUUAAAGAGGUACGUGAGCUGGGUUUAAAACGUCGUGAGACAGUUUGGUCCCUAUCUUCCGUGGGCGCUGCAGAUUUGAGGAAGCCUGCUCCUAGUACGAGAGGACCGGAGUGGACACACCUCUGGUGUAUCGGUUGUCACGCCAGUGGCAUUGCCGAGUAGCUAAGUGUGGAAGAGAUAACCGCUGAAAGCAUCUAAGCGGGAAACUCGUUUCAAGAUGAGAUCUGCCGGGGCCUUGAGCCCCCUAAAGAGUCGUUCAAGACCAGGACGUUGAUAGGUCAGGUGUGGAAGC
rnacentral:rRNA from 1 species